AGUAGUUUGACUCCGUGGCUACGAGGACGAACGCUGGCGGCGUGCUUAACACAUGCAAGUCGAACGGUGAACCAGAGCUUGCUCUGGGAGGUCAGUGGCGAACGGGUGAGUAACACGUGGGCAACCUGCCCCAGACUCUGGGAUAACCUCGGGAAACCGAUGCUAAUACCGGAUACGACCACUUCGGACAUCCGACGGUGGUGGAAAGUUUUCGGUCUGGGAUGGGCCCGCGGCCUAUCAGCUAGUUGGUGGGGUAAUGGCUUACCAAGGCGACGACGGGUAGCCGGCCUGAGAGGGCGACCGGCCACACUGGAACUGAGACACGGUCCAGACUCCUACGGGAGGCAGCAGUGAGGAAUAUUGCACAAUGGGCGAAAGCCUGAUGCAGCGACGCCGCGUGAGGGACGACGGCCUUCGGGUUGUAAACCUCUUUCAGCAGGGACGAAGCGAAAGUGACUGUACCUGCAGAAGAAGCACCGGCUAACUACGUG
rnacentral:rRNA from 1 species